rnacentral:misc_RNA from 1 species
UCUCCGUUGGUGAACCAGCGGAGGGAUCAUUACAGAGUUUACAACUCCCACACCCCUGUGAACAUACCAUUUGUUGCCUCGGCGGUUCCUGCUUCGGCAGCCCGCCAGUGGCCACAGACCCUUGAUGUUGUUCAGUAGCUUCUGAGUAAAAGUUUAAAUAAAUCAAAACUUUCAACAACGGAUCUCUUGGUUCUG